rnacentral:rRNA from 1 species
AUGGGUGGUGAUGGAUCCAGGGAGUUCAAGCCUGAUCAUGACGAGGAUGCAUCUGCUUCUUCAAAAAUGAAGGUAGUGCGAGAUGCAUCCAAAGAUCUCAAGCGUAAGGCUAUAGUUGCAGCUCCUCCUGUUGCAAAGAUGGCAAAGCCUAGUAAGGAUUUCAGUCGCAAAACUAUGAAGAUCUCAGCUGUUACAAGAACACAGCUGAAUGUACCUUUUGGAGACACUGACAGAGUCGUGUGCUGCACUAUAGUCAGCACCACUCAUUCUGCUGGUUUUUGUGUUGGUGCUGGUCUUUUUGAUUUGGCUGAACAUAGAAGAUUCAGGGUGGCAGAUCACUAUGUGAAGGACACUGUUCUAGUUGCAUUUGAUGAUGCAUUUGAUGUGCUCCUAGUUGCUGGCUACGACUACAGUGUUGGUCCUGAAGCACUAAUGACUGUUUCUAGGGUUUCUAAGUUAGAGCCUUAUGUACCUGACUGGGAUGGUUAUUUCCAAUCACGAACAAUAAUUGCUAGUGCUCCUGGUGAUGUUGCUGUUGAUGAAGACGAAUAG